UAUACAUAGCGGAGGAAAGAAACCAACAGGGGAUUGCCCCAGUAACGGCGAGUGAAGCGGCAGCAGCUCAAAUUUGAAAUCUGGGGUCCCCGACCUCCGAGUUGUAAUUUGGAGAGGCAUCUUCGGGGGGGAGCGCCGGCCCAUGUUCCUUGGGACAGGACGUCACAGAGGGUGAGAAUCCCGUGCCUGGCCGGCUGCCUCCUCCCGGGUGAAGGGCCUUCGACGAGUCGAGUUGUUUGGGAAUGCAGCUCCAAGUGGGUGGUAAAUUUCAUCUAAAGCUAAAUACCGGCGGGAGACCGAUAGCGCACAAGUAGAGUGAUCGAAAGAUGAAAAGCACUUUGAAAAUAGAGUCAAAAAGUACGUGAAAUUGUUGAAAGGGAAGCGCUUGAGACCAGACUCAGGCCCGGGCAAACAUCGCGCCCCUCGGGGCCGUGCAAUUGCCUGGGCCUGGGCCAGCAUCAGUUGGCGUGGCGGGACAAAGGCGCGGGGAAUGUGGCUCCCCUCGAGGAGUGUUAUCAGGCCCGCGCUCAAUGCCGCCGACGUCGACUGAGGACCGCGCCUCGGCUAGGAUGCUGGCUUAAUGGCCUUCAGCGACCCGUCUUGAAACACGGACCAAGGAGUCUAACAUCUAUGCGAGUGUUUGGGCGACAAACCCUUGCGCGGAAUGAAAGUGAGCGGAGGUGGGAACCCCCCAGCGGGGCGCACCAUCGACCGAUCCUGAUGUCUUCGGAUGGAUUUGAGUAGGAGCAUAGCUGUUGGGACCCGAAAGAUGGUGAACUAUGCCUGAAUAGGGUGAAGCCAGAGGAAACUCUGGUGGAGGCUCGCAGCGGUUCUGACGUGCAAAUCGAUCGUCAAAUUUGGGUAUAGGGGCGAAAGACUAAUCGAACCAUGCA
rnacentral:rRNA from 1 species